rnacentral:tRNA from 1 species
CGGGGCUUGGCGGAAUUGGUAGACGCAAGAGACUUAAAAUCUCUCGGGCUUGCCCGUACCGGUUCGAUUCCGGUAGCCCCGACCA